CAAUCCUAUAAACGUCAUUUUGUAUGGAAAGAUUUGAUAGUAUGGACAAGAACUUUAACUCAAAUCUAGGUUUGUGGUUCCAUACAUGACAACAUCUGAAUUUUGAGUUUCAAAUAUUAGAACGGGGCACAUUUGAAAGCCGGUUGCAGAUCGAAAACUAAGCUAUGCCAAGGCUAAACUAAGCUAUGCCAAGCAAGCUGGGCUAAGCUAAGCUAGAAAUAAAUACCGUGCAGACCAACAACUAAGCCAAAUCUCAGUCAGUACGGCGAAGGAUGUGCAAAGGGUGUGCGGGGUAGAGGGAGGGGCUUAGCUUAGCUCGUGUAGCUGCGCAUCGGCAUACACAACUAACUUAGCUUCGCAUAUUUUAGUUAGCUCACAUAGCUUAGUUCGCAUAGUUUGGGGUCUGCACACAAGUAUGUAAAACUGCGUCAGCUAUGCGAGCUAAGCUAAACUAACUUAGCUUAUCUCUUGGUCUGCAACCCGUAUAAAGCUCCUUUUUGA